UUAUGAAUUGUUAAUAAUAUUAAUUUGGUCCUUAUUAAUAAUGAGAUGAUGUUAAAACAGGUCAGUUUUUAAUUUUUUUUAUUCCGAUUCUGCCCUUAAAGCCAAAUAUAUGUUUAUAGCUUUAUAGUCAAAAAUAGAGCGCAAAUCUUCUCUCCAUUUUGAUCAGAAUUCCCAGAGCUUCGAUUAGAAAUCCAAAAGGUAGAAGACGAAUUUCAAACUUCACCUGGCGUCAUUGCCCAAACCCGAUCGGUCACCUACAUGCCCCGACCCAACGACGGAGCUCUGAGUGCCAAAACAUAACCCCCGGCGACGGAAUCGGACCGCUCGUAAUGAACGCCGUCGAGCAGGUGAUGGAGUCUCUCGUCGCGAACGAGAGUUGCAGCACAUUUUGCGUGUUCUGAACACCAAUGUGGAUGGAAAUCAGAAGAUCAUGUUCGCUCUGACCUCCAUCAAGGGUAUCGGUCGCCGUUUAGCCAACAUCGUCUGCAAGAAGGCCGAUGUCGACAUGAACAGGAGAUACAGAUGCAGCUAGCGUGGGUUUUGUAAACCAAACCGCCCUGCGAAGUUGGAGAAAAAACCCUCCGUGUCGAGAAAUUUAGCUCUUUCCGUUCCUUCUCUGCAAACUCGAUUAUCAACAGUGAGUAUCCUGAGAAGAAUAAAAGGAAACUUUGUGAAUCUUCAUUGCUGAAAAGGAAAAGGAUUAUGGGACAUGGAAACCAGAUCUAGGGGAAGAUGCUGGUACAAUUCAUCUCCCGAAUCCAAUUAAUGGGUUUGGGACUCUAGCUGAUCUCUGUCAAAUCCACAGAAGUCUUCCAGAGGCAGCCACAAGACCUCCUUAUUUUUACUAUGAGAAUGUGGCAUUGACUCCUGAAGGAGUUUGAGGCACAAUAUCCCGCUUUUUGUAUGACGUGAAGCCUGUGCAGACUGAGCUAUGCAUUUAGUGAGAACAAAGAGUGAGAACAAAUCAUGCUAUGGUCUCAUAAGAAAAAGCCCUCGGUGCCUUUUUCGUUUGGUCUCUUUUAAGCUAUUUUUGGUUAAAAUGACAUUUUUUUUUUCCCGGAGUUCUUAGCAACUUGAUAUCUGAUGAGUAGAUGAGCUUUCAUUUUAACAUCUGUAAAAUUUAGUUACUGAUCAUUUUAUGGAAUUCAUGCUUUUGCAGUGGCUAAUUAUAUGAUGAGUC
rnacentral:lncRNA from 1 species